rnacentral:rRNA from 1 species
UAGAGUUUGAUCCUGGCUCAGGAUGAACGCUAGCGACAGGCUUAACACAUGCAAGUCGAGGGGCAGCGGGGGCGUAGCAAUAUGCCUGCCGGCGACCGGCGCACGGGUGAGUAACACGUAUGUAACCUGCCCUAUGCAGGGGGAUAACCCGGAGAAAUCCGGCCUAAUACCGCGUAACACCUUUCGGGAGCAUUCCCGGGGGGUUAAAGGAGCGAUCCGGCAUAGGAUGGACAUGCGUCGCAUUAGGUAGACGGCGGGGUAACGGCCCACCGUGCCGACGAUGCGUAGGGGUUCUGAGAGGAAGGCCCCCCACACUGGUACUGAGACACGGACCAGACUCCUACGGGAGGCAGCAGUGAGGAAUAUUGGUCAAUGGCCGGGAGGCUGAACCAGCCAAGUCGCGUGAGGGAAGAAUGUCCUAAGGAUUGUAAACCUCUUUUGUCGGGGAGCAAAAAGGCUCUGCGGAGUCGUAUUGAGAGUACCCGAAGAAAAAGCAUCGGCUAACUCCGUGCCAGCAGCCGCGGUAAUACGGAGGAUGCGAGCGUUAUCCGGAUUUAUUGGGUUUAAAGGGUGCGCAGGCGGCGUGUCAAGCAAGCGGUAAAAUAGCGGGGCUCAACCCCGUCGAGCCGUUUGAACUGGCGCGCUUGAGUUCAGGCGAGGUAGGCGGAAUUCGUGGUGUAGCGGUGAAAUGCAUAGAUAUCACGCAGAACUCCGAUUGCGAAGGCAGCUUACCAGUCUGCGACUGACGCUCAGGCACGAAAGUGUGGGUAUCGAACAGGAUUAGAUACCCUGGUAGUCCACACAGUAAACGAUGAGCGCUAGGUGUCCGGGUUGAAUGAGGCUUGGGUGCCCGAGGCGAAAGCGUUAAGCGCUCCACCUGGGGAGUACGCCGGCAACGGUGAAACUCAAAGGAAUUGACGGGGGCCCGCACAAGCGGAGGAAUAUGUGGUUUAAUUCGAUGAUACGCGAGGAACCUUACCCGGGCUCAGACGACUCAGGAAUAUAUUGGAAACGAUGUAGCCAGCAAUGGUCUGAGUCGAGGUGCUGCAUGGUUGUCGUCAGCUCGUGCCGUGAGGUGUCGGCUUAAGUGCCAUAACGAGCGCAACCCCUACCGCCAGUUGCCAACGGGUAAAGCCGGGAACUCUGGCGGGACUGCCGGCGCAAGCUGCGAGGAAGGCGGGGAUGACGUCAAAUCAGCACGGCCCUUACGUCCGGGGCGACACACGUGUUACAAUGGCAGGUACAGCGGGAAGCCACCUGGUGACAGGGAGCGGAACCCGAAAGCCUGUCUCAGUUCGGAUUGGAGUCUGCAACUCGACUCCAUGAAGCUGGAUUCGCUAGUAAUCGCGCAUCAGCCAUGGCGCGGUGAAUACGUUCCCGGGCCUUGUACACACCGCCCGU